CUAGUCAACCACCAGGUGAUGGACCUUUACCCUCUUCAGUGGUCUCUCAACAGAGCUCUGAAAUUGCUAAUGAUAUCACACACAGGAAAAGAGCAUCUUAUCAGGAACAAGAAGUGCUAGAAAACAACAUGGCAUUAACAUUGCAGGAGAAUGAUUAUCAACAGAAAGAAAAUCAUGAAGAUCUGUAUAUGCCAUUAUCUGAAUCCCAAGAGACUGUAAAUCAAGGUGAUAAUGAAAACAGUCCCUCUAGGCAACUUUCACUUCUCAACAAACUAUUAACUACAAAAACUUCACUCUCUUCAGUAACCUCCGAACAUGAUUAUGACACAAUACAGAGGAGGAGCAGAGGAUCUUUACAGAAAGACUUAGAUGCUAUUGAUGAAAAAGAUGUGUACAGAAAGCCAAGCAAAGAAUGUGAAGUGGG